rnacentral:misc_RNA from 1 species
AUAAAACUAUUAUAAAGAGUAAAAUUAGAAGAAAAAAAUGAAAAUUGCUCCGUGACCCGCACGUUUUCAAGUUUUACAUCUCCCAGCAUUAUGAUAUGUGGAUGGAGAAGUCCUCUCUGAUUUUAAAGGUGGGGGCAAAUCCAUCAUAAGAACAUAAUUCUUUUCUAUGAUUUCAUAUAAGAGAAAUUGAAUUUUUUAUAUUGGUAUCUCUCAGAGAGGUAAGCACCACAUUUUCGGCAAUCUCUUUCCACAAAUUGUCAAAAUCAACAUAGUAAAACUGAAAUUUCAAUUGAAACCAUCAUAGCAAAAACUAAAGUUGCAGCUGUGAUAUCAUCAAAAGGCCCAUACUGCCCCAACUGUUCUGUUCAAUCUGAAACCAUAACUCAAGUGGACUGUCUUGAAAGGCCAUGACAAACUGGGCUCUGAAUUUUGAGGAUCAAUCAAUCUUUUCAUAUAUCCAAGGGAAGUUACUUACACUCAAUAAUUGACGAGACAAACCCAAAAAG